GCGAAGGUGGGAGAGAAGAGGUUGCAGGCGGCGCUGGACUAUGCUUGUGGGGAGGGCGGGGCGGACUGUAAGGAAAUACAGGAAGGGAGAGCGUGUUAUGACCCAAAUACCCUUGAGGCACACGCCAGCUACGCCUUCAACAGCUAUUAUCAGAAGAAGGGGAGGGUGGUUGGUACGUGCGAUUUUGAGGGUGCUGGUUUCGUGGUCUCCCAGGCUCCGGUGGUUGGCAAGUGCGUCCUGUCUACAACUGGGACAUGAAUGGACAGAAGAUAACAUGGGGAGUAGAGAUGAAGAAAACAUGGGAGCAUGGAAUGAAUGCGAGUGCUGCAGCUAUCCUUGACUUUAGUGGGGGUUCACAUGGGAGUCUUUACUUUUUUUUUGUUGUUGUUGCUACUGUUGUCUUUUAUCUGGGGUUAGAUAUUUGUGAGUAAGUUGACAUGUGAGCUGAGCUGGGUGGAGAAUCAGCUUGGAUCUUGUGUUGGGUCUUUUUUCGCACUCGGUUGGUCCUUUUGGCUGGAAGAGUGCUACUAAUGUUUGUAUGUACAUGG
rnacentral:misc_RNA from 1 species